UACGUAGGGCGCAAGCGUUGUCCGGAAUUAUUGGGCGUAAAGAGCUCGUAGGUGGUUUGUCGCGUCUGCCGUGAAAACCCGAGGCUUAACCUCGUGGCUUGCGGUGGAUACGGGCAGACUAGAGGUAGGUAGGGGAGAAUGGAAUUCCCGGUGUAGCGGUGAAAUGCGCAGAUAUCGGGAGGAACACCGGUGGCGAAGGCGGUUCUCUGGGCCUGACCUGACGCUGAGGAGCGAAAGCGUGGGGAGCGAACAGG
rnacentral:rRNA from 1 species